rnacentral:snRNA from 1 species
AUACUUACCUGGCAGGGGAGAUACCAUGAUCACGAAGGUGGUUUUCCCAGGGCGAGGCUUAUCCAUUGCACUCCGGAUGUGCUGACCCCUGGGAUUUCCCCAAAUGUGGGAAACUUGACUGCAUCAUUUGUGGCAAUGGGGGACUGGGUUUGUGCUCUCA